GUCGGCAGCUAGCUCUCUGCAACUCUCACAUGGUUGCUCAUUGAAGCUAAGCAGGGCUGUGCCCGGUCAGUACCUGGAUGGGAGACCACAGGGGAAAGCUAGGUUGCUGCCGGAA
rnacentral:rRNA from 1 species